rnacentral:rRNA from 1 species
AUUGAACGCUGGCGGCAGGCCUAACACAUGCAAGUCGAACGAGUGGCGGACGGGUGAGUAAUGUCUGGGAAACUGCCUGAUGGAGGGGGAUAACUACUGGAAACGGUAGCUAAUACCGCAUACCAUCGGAUGUGCCCAGAUGGGAUUAGCUAGUAGGUGGGGUAAAGGCUCACCUAGGCGACGAUCCCUAGCUGGUCUGAGAGGAUGACCAGACACACGGGAAAUGAGACGAGGUCCAGACACGUAUGGGAGGCAACAGUGUGGAAUAUUGCACAGAGGGCGCAAGCCUGAUGCAGCCAUGCCGGGUGUAUUAAGAAGGCGUUCGGGUUGUAAAGUACUUUCAGCGGGGAGGCGUUACCCGCAGAAGAAGCACCGGCUAACUCAGUGCCAGCAGCCGCGUAAUAC